rnacentral:rRNA from 1 species
AGUCGCGUGAAGGAAGAAGGAUCUAUGGUUCGUAAACUUCUUUUGCAGGGGAAUAAAGUGCAGGACGUGUCCUGUUUUGUAUGUACCCUGAGAAUAAGGAUCGGCUAACUCCGUGCCAGCAGCCGCGGUAAUACGGAGGAUCCGAGCGUUAUCCGGAUUUAUUGGGUUUAAAGGGUGCGUAGGUGGUUUGAUAAGUCAGCGGUGAAAGUUUGCAGCUUAACUGUAAAAAUGCCGUUGAAACUGUCGGACUUGAGUGUAAAUGAGGUAGGCGGAAUGCGUGGUGUAGCGGUGAAAUGCAUAGAUAUCACGCAGAACUCCGAUUGCGAAGGCAGCUUACUAAGCUACAACUGACACUGAAGCACGAAAGCGUGGGGAUCAAACAGGAUUAGAUACCCUGGUAGUCCACGCAGUAAACGAUGAUUACUAGCUGUUUGCGAUACACAGUAAGCGGCACAGCGAAAGCGUUAAGUAAUCCACCUGGGGAGUACGCCGGCAACGGUGAAACUCAAAGGAAUUGACGGGGGCCCGCACAAGCGGAGGAACAUGUGGUUUAAUUCGAUGAUACGCGAGGAACCUUACCCGGGUUUGAACGUAGGGAGACAGGGGUGGAAACAUCCUUUUCAGCAAUGACUGCCUACGAGGUGCUGCAUGGUUGUCGUCAGCUCGUGCCGUGAGGUGUCGGCUUAAGUGCCAUAACGAGCGCAACCCUUAUUUCCAGUUACUAACAGGUCAAGCUGAGGACUCUGGAGAGACUGCCAGCGUAAGCUGUGAGGAAGGUGGGGAUGACGUCAAAUCAGCACGGCCCUUACAUCCGGGGCGACACACGUGUUACAAUGGUAAGGGACAAAGGGCAGCUACCGGGCGACCGGAUGCGAAUCUCUAAACCUUAUCUCAGUUCGGAUCGGAGUCUGCAACUCGACUCCGUGAAGCUGGAUUCGCUAGUAAUCGCGCAUCAGCC